GCGGUCUCAACGGGGUGCCCUUUAUGGGCUGAGAAUUUUCAGUGAUGAAAUAGACCCGUGGAACCUGAACCGGUUAAUACCGGCGGAGGGAAUUGAAGACUGGAUGCUG
rnacentral:ncRNA from 2 species